rnacentral:rRNA from 1 species
UGGGGGAUAUUGCACAAUGGGCGAAAGCCUGAUGCAGCGACGCCGCGUGGGGGAUGAAGGCCUUCGGGUUGUAAACUUCUUUUGCUCUGAACAAGGCAUGCCUUUGGGGUGUGUUGUGUGUAGGGGUUGAUUAGCGCCGGCUAACUACGUGCCAGCAGCCGCGGUAAUCCGUAGGGCGCGAGCGUUGUCCGGAAUUAUUGGGCGUAAAGGGCUUGUAGGUGGCUGGUUGCGUCUGUCGUGAAAGCUCAUGGCUUAACUGUGGGUUUGCGGUGGGUACGGGCUGGCUUGAGUGCAGUAGGGGAGGCUGGAAUUCCUGGUGUAGCGGUGGAAUGCGCAGAUAUCAGGAGGAAUACCGGUGGCGAAGGCGGGUCUCUGGGCUGUUACUGACGCUGAGGAGCGAAAGCGUGGGGAGCGAACAGG